AUGGCUCAGUUGGUGGACUAUAAGUUCUGGCCAUCGACAUUCCAGAGUAAAGCCAUAGAGCUAUUCGAUAACAAGAGCCAAAUGUUCGAUUUGGUUGAGAUGCAGCUCUCCUUGAUGCAUGAUUUCUUAUAUACCAAGGCAUCGGUGGUCUUCACAUGGUAUGGAUGCUUCAUCCGUGCCAUUUCAUCAGUUGCCACCAUCACUGCUUUCUUCCUAUUUCAGUCAAGCAUUGGCAAAAAUGACUUCAACAGAGUUGAUGCCAUUGUCACAUACAUCUUAAUAGCUGGGGCUGUCCUCCUAGAGAUGAUAGCAGUGUUGAAGGCAAUGGGAUCAACAUGGACAUGCGCAUUGUUGCAUGCUAGAAGAUGGCAUCGGCUUCACAACAUAGUCGUAUCUGUCCGCCGAUGUGUCAAGGCUGCAGAAAGAAAUAGAAGAUGGUCAGGUUCCAUUGGACAGCCCGAGUUGUUGAACUCAUCCCAUGGCAGUGGAGACUGCGUGUCUGCGCAGGGCCUGGCAAUGGGAUGCAAAGAUUUGUGGAAGAAGUUGUGCCACUCCUUACCUGUCAUUUCAGAUGAUACUAAGAAGUCGGUAUUGGAAGAGGUAUGCAGAAUGGUGGGGGCAUGUAAAGGCAAUGAGGAUAUUAUGAGGAGUUACAGUGGUCAGUCCGCACUGAAUCCAUGGCACGGUUUCUUCGAGGAUCCUACCUCGCGCGCUGGCAUUGAUUUUGAUGAAAAAAUCCUUUGCUGGCACUUUGCCACCAAAAUAUUCUUGUCAAGGCCAUCUUGUGUGGAAGAGCAAGAUUAUGUUUUGGAGGCAAUCAGGGAAGUGUCUAACUAUAUGAUAUUCCUCCUUGUUCAAUGCCCCUACAUGCUGCCUAGCCCUGUUCGCCCCGGAUUGUAUGCCAAUAAUGAAGCAACAUAUGAGAGUCUUGAUUUUUCUAAGGUGGACCGCAUUAGCAGAAGGGGGAAGCUGGACAACAGAAGAAGAAUGUGGGAUGUGGACACAAGAAGGGACGUGGACGAGCUGGACAGAGUAAGGGGGAAGUUGGACAUAAUAAGGGAGGAGCUGGACAUACUAAUAAGAUGGGAGUUGCACGAAAUAGGGGAGGAGCUGAAAAAAAUAAGGUUGGAGGUUGACGGUUCAAGGGAGAACCUGGAGAAGCUGAACAUAAUAAAUAAAAAGCUGGAGGAGCUGGACAGAAGCAGCGUGAAGCUGCGUUUGAGACCUUCACCUCCACCUGCCUUAGCCCGUGUAGCGGAGCUUGCUGUUGGGCUGCUAGAUACGGUGGAGGCACGGGGCGAACAGGAGGUGCGGCGGGUGGUACUUGGGGUGUGGGUGGAGAUGUUGUGCUAUGCAGCCCACCACUGCAGCAGGGAUUCCCACGCCAGGCAGCUCAACAGUGGCGGUGAGUUCAUUACCGUCGUCUGGCUUCUAUCCACUGCCAUCUUCAGUCGCUCCUAUUGUGACAAGGAUUGGUUUAAGAAGGGUGUGGAGGAGUUCUUCAAGCCAUCAUUCCAUUUCCGGGACAGCCGUGGAUGGUUUCGAGACAACUGCGAAUGGUUAUGCAGAUGUUUCUGCGAAUGUUUCUGCAGAUGCUGCGGAUGCUCCUGGGACAGCUGCGGAUGGUUGUGCGGAUGGUUGUGCGGAUUGUGCGGAUUCCGGGACAGCUGCGGAUGGUUUUUGGAUUGUGCGUAUGGUACAGCUGCGGAUGGUGCGUAUGGUACGGAUUGGUCCGUAGGCUACUUUACCCAAACAAUCGCCAGCGGGGGAGAGUGGUUCGGGUUUGAGGAGGGGCUAAUUCAUUGUAUUGUGUAG
rnacentral:rRNA from 1 species